CAGGAUAUAGCGCAGUUGGUAGCGCGGUUGCUUCGGGAGCAACAGGUCGUGAGUUCGAGUCUCAUUAUCCUGACCA
rnacentral:tRNA from 1 species